UUCCGGUAUACUUCCGGUAAAUUUGCUUAAAACUAGCAAGUGAGCUUUGUUCUCUGUAGAAUUCUAAAGACUCCAUGCUAAUUUUAAGCAAAGAUAAAUGGUCUUUUUGAUUACUUUUAUGACUAUUUUGACUAUCUAAGGCCAGUCCUUUAGAUAGUGAGUUUGGACGUGUGACAAAUAGAUGGCGUGAAAGAAUGUUGUUUGUUGUGUCAGAUAUGGGCUUAUGGUGGCUCGUUGCCAAAAGUUUAGCUAGCUAUUUUCUUCGAAAAUUCCCAAUGAAUUCGCUGGAGAAAAUGUGAAAGGUGCAUGAAACCUGUGCUGUCAACUAUUGUGUUAAAAAACCUGACAGUAUCCUACUAAAUAUGUGAUAUUUCAUCCAAAUGACAGAGUGGAUCCAUCACUAUUAUCGGCUGAAUCAUUCUAUGGGACUUGCCAGAUCACCAACCCCACACAUGGACCAAUCUCUCAUUCCAUCUUCUAGAGAACCUUGGAUAACUGAUUGGUGGUUUCGUGUGUUCCUAGGUUUCUAACAUUGCAUGACAGACUUUAUGAGAAGACAUGUCCAUUGAAGAAAUAGGACUGACUACACAGUCAAGGUAACCAGUUGGCUGCUACCCUUGAACAUCCCCUUUUACUUCAUGAAACUGUAAACAGGCCAUCUUGAUUUGAGGGUAAGUCCUUCGCUGCUUAUCAUGGACUUCAUCCAUUGGUGAAAACCAAUAUGACAACCAGGAGGAAAAGAGUGCUCUGGUUAAUCACCCAAAUGAGACAAAAGAGUUAGGUUUGUUUUAUUUGGGUAUAAAUUGUUUUAAAACUUGUACCUAUAAAACAAUUGUCUUGUACCGGACGCUUUGUUUAUUGAAUUUUUUAUCAUUUUGGGAAUAAAAUGUAUUUAAUUCAA